rnacentral:rRNA from 1 species
CCUACGGGAGGCAGCAGUGGGGAAUAUUGGGCAAUGGGCGAAAGCCUGACCCAGCAACGCCGCGUGAAGGAAGAAGGUCUUCGGAUUGUAAACUUCUUUUAUGAGGGACGAAGGACGUGACGGUACCUCAUGAAUAAGCCACGGCUAACUANGUGCCAGCAGCCGCGGUAAU